CCCUUAGAUGUUCUGGGCCGCACGCGCGCUACACUGAUGCAUUCAACGAGCCUAUCCUUGACCGACAGGUCCGGGUAAUCUUUGAAUCUGCAUCGUGACGGGGAUAGAUUAUUGCAAUUAUUAAUCUUCAACGAGGAAUGCCUAGUAGGCGCAAGUCAUCAGCUUGCAUCGAUUACGUCCCUGCCCUUUGUACACACCGCCCGUCGCUCCUACCGAUUGGGUGUGCUGGUGAAAUGUUCGGAUCGGCCGUUUGUCGCGGUUUCCGCGUCAUGUGGCUGAGAAGUUCAUUAAACCCUCCCACCUAGAGGAAGGAGAAGUCGUAACA
rnacentral:rRNA from 1 species